UUUUUUUUUUUUCUUUCCAGUUUGAUGACCCAGGACAUAAACAUGCAAGAAGUUUAUUUUCACUUUAGAUAAAGCCAAUUAGCUAAGACAGAGGGCCAUCUGAAUUACCAGGUGAAUCUAAGAUGAACAUAUGUGACAAAUAGCACUGUCAAGACCUCCUACUUGAGGACUAAUUAUUGCUUACCUUGAGAAAAUGUCUGUAAUGGACUUUAUCUGCUUAGCUAUAUAAAACAGUGAGAUUUCUUCCUGUCCUUACCAUCUCUUAACAGAUUGUCUGUAAUGCACGUGAUAUUCAAGUUUAAAUUUAAUUCAAUAUUAAAAUGGUUUUCUUUCUCUUCUACCUUUGUGAAGAAGUUUUCUGGGUUGGGAGGAGAUUUUGUUUUUAAUUCUAUUUCCCCGGCACCCAUGAAACUCCCUACUUCUGUUUUGCCCCAGGACAGACCAUGAACUCCUUUAGAAUAGAGUCUCAACCUUUUUCUUCUGAACCUCCCCAUUGUCUACAUGUUGACUGACGCAUAAGACACACGUAAUGGGGUGUCAUAAACAGGCAAUGACAAGGGAUUGAAUGCAUGCAUGAAUGGACGGAUCCAUUGAUUGAUCUAUGAGUCUGAAGUGCCUAUGUUGGUGCCUAUUACAUAGUAGAUAGGCAAAGUUGUUGGAUGAUAAAAGAAAGGAAGGGAGAAAGAUGGGGAGGCAAGGAAUGUAACUGAAUGAGUAUAUGUUUCCAGGUGUCAGCAUGUACUGAAAAGUCACAAUCAACAUCUUCUUAAAGUAACAAAGACCCAUAGAUACCCAGUUCUUACCAUUUCCAUAGCUGUGUCCCACAACUCCGUAUUCCUCAUCUAUCUUGAAUCUUGAACCCCUGAAAUCCUGAACACCUUUGGAGGCAGCUAGGGCAAUGUGAGAUCUCCAGAAUGAUAUUUUCAUUGUGAUGAUAAAAAUCAAGUUUCCCCUUUUCUCCUUACCUUUUUCCCUUCUGUGCCUUCUUUCCCUGGCUUUCCUGGGAGACCUUUGUCCCCCUUAAAACCUGGUAGACCAGGGAGGCCUGGGGGGCCAGGAGGGCAGUCACUGCACACAUCCUGAGAGGGGAGAGAGGGAGGGACAAGCAGAGAAUGACUAGCAAACACAGUUUCAAAGCAAAGCAAAGUAGCCCCGGCUGCUGCCUCUCCAGAUGGAGAUUUUGUUUUUAAAUACCAGAGAAGAUAGAAAAGCAAAUAGGUGGACUGAGUCAUGAUCCAAAUACUUUUGUGUCUAAACUUUGCAUUUUCCCUUUCUUCACUGAAAGUUAGGUUUCGGCACUGACAUGUCUGGAUAUUUCUCCAUUUCCUCCUACUUCCACGCAGACUUCUGGAAGGAUAGCCUGAGGAAAUGAUGUCAAAAAUUCAUGUAAAAUGAUCUGUGAGCAUCUGAAAACAUUAACAGAGCAGAUUUAAUACAAACAUUUAGUAUUACUAAAAAUAGCAUGCUCUGUCCCUGAUGUUAGAGGCCAAGCUGGGAGCUGAAUUCUCUGUUCUGAGUUUGCCCAAGCCAAGUGGUUUCUGAACAAGGAAGAAGGAUAAACAAGGCGACAGGCACACACCCUUGGGACUUUGUUUCUGUGACACAAUCCAGGCUCUGACCAUGCUUAGCUUUAUUUUUUACCCAAGGUAAGCAUUUAAUAAAUGGUCCCUGGAGUUGGGCUUUGUUCUACUUCUUUACGGCAGGUAAAUACUGCUCCUUGAGUAAAUUUAAAGUCCUCUGAGCCCGGAGCAUGUGUUUUCUGAUUUGUCGGAUCUUACAGUUUGGAGCACACUAUGCGCUAAACAAAACUCACCUGACUGUACUCCAGCCUGCCUCCUCCACCUGCCUUGUGGUUUACCUCCUCCAUGCCCUUCUCUCUAAUCUUCCCUCUCAUCCACCCUGCCUGUCUCCUUGUAAUAGGAAUUUAAUGGAUAACACAAGUAAAGCACUUAGAAUACUCUCAAGAAAGAUUAGAUAGAUGGAUAGAUAGAUGAUAGAUAGAUACACAGAUACAUAGAUAGAUAAUGCCCACACAUUUAGCCAUUAUUGCUAAUUUAUUUAUUCACUCAGUCAUUCACUCAUUGAAAAAAUACUUGAAAGGCACCUACUAUGUGUCGGGCACUGUGAUAAGUUUGGGACCACAGUGAGUGUGUGUCUUGAAGAGCUCUCAGUUCAACACUGUCAACUGACACAAACACAUGCACUAACUAUGGUCUUUUGAAAGCCC
rnacentral:lncRNA from 1 species